UGGGGAAUAUUGCACAAUGGAGGGAACUCUGAUGCAGCGACGCCGCGUGAACGAAGAAGGCUUUCGAGUCGUAAAGUUCUUUUAUAUGGGAAGAUAAUGACGGUACCAUAAGAAAAAGCCCCGGCUAACUACGUGCCAGCAGCCGCGGUAAUACGUAGGGGGCGAGCGUUGUCCGGAAUCACUGGGGGUAAAGGGUUCGCAGGCGGAAAUGCAAGUCAGGUGUAAAAGGCAGUAGCUUAACUACUGUAAGCAUUUGAAACUGCAUAUCUUGAGCUGAGUCGAGGUAAGUGCAAUUUUUAGUGUAGCGGUGAAAUGCGUAGAUAUUAAAAAGAAUACCCGUGGCGAAGGCGACUUACUGGGCUCAUUCUGACGCUGAGGAACGAAAGCGUGGGUAGCAAACAGG
rnacentral:rRNA from 1 species